rnacentral:rRNA from 1 species
AUUGAACGCUGGCGGCAGGCCUAACACAUGCAAGUCGAACGGUAGCACAGAGAGCUUGCUCUUGGGUGACGAGUGGCGGACGGGUGAGUAAUGUCUGGGAAACUGCCUGAUGGAGGGGGAUAACUACUGGAAACGGUAGCUAAUACCGCAUAACGUCGCAAGACCAAAGAGGGGGACCUUCGGGCCUCUUGCCAUCAGAUGUGACCAGAUGGGAUUGGCUAGUAGGUGGGGUAAUGGCUCACCUAGGCGACGAUCCCUAGCUGGUCUGAGAGGAUGACCAGCCACACUGGAACUGAGACACGGUCCAGACUCCUACGGGAGGCAGCAGUGGGGAAUAUUGCACAAUGGGCGCAAGCCUGAUGCAGCCAUGCCGCGUGUAUGAAGAAGGCCUUCGGGUUGUAAAGUACUUUCAGCGAGGAGGAAGGUGGUGAGGUUAAUAACCUUAUCAAUUGACGUUACUCGCAGAAGAAGCACCGGCUAACUCCGUGCCAGCCGCCGCAGUAAUAC